GACGAACGCUGGCGGCGUGCUUAACACAUGCAAGUCGAACGGAAAGGCCCUGCUUUUGUGGGGUGCUCGAGUGGCGAACGGGUGAGUAACACGUGAGUAACCUUCCCUUGACUUUGGGAUAACUUCAGGCAACUGGGGCUAAUACCGGCUAGGAGCUCCUGCUGCAUGGUGGGGGUUGGACAGUUUAGGCGGUUGGGGAUGGACUCGCGGGUUAUCAGCUUGUUGGUGGGGUAGUGGCUUACCAAGGCUUUGACGGGUAGCCGGCAUGGGAGGGGGACCGGGGACAUUGGGACUGAGAGACGGAGCAGACGGCUACGGGAGGCAGCAGGGGGGAAUAUUGCACAAUGGGCGGAAGCCUGAGGCAGCAACGCCGCGUGCGGGAUGACGGCCUUCGGGUUGUAAACCGCUGUCGCCUGUGACGAAGCGUGAGUGACGGUAAUGGGUAAAGAAGCACCGGCUAACUACGUG
rnacentral:rRNA from 1 species